GACGAACGCUGGCGGCGUGCUUAACACAUGCAAGUCGAACGGAAAGGCCCUGCUUUUGUGGGGUGCUCGAGUGGCGAACGGGUGAGUAACACGUGAGUAACCUGCCCUUGACUUUGGGAUAACUUCAGGAAACUGGGGCUAACACCGGAUAGGAGCUCCUGCUGCAUGGUGGGGGUUGGAAAGUUUCGGCGGUUGGAGAUGGACUCGCGGCUUAUCAGCUUGUUGGUGGGGUAGUGGCUUACCAAGGCUUUGACGGGUAGCCGGCCUGAGAGGGUGACCGGCCACAUUGGGACUGAGAUACGGCCCAGACUCCUACGGGAGGCAGCAGUGGGGAAUAUUGCACAAUGGGCGGAAGCCUGAUGCAGCAACGCCGCGUGCGGGAUGACGGCCUUCGGGUUGUAAACCGCUUUCGCCUGUGACGAAGCGUGAGUGACGGUAAUGGGUAAAGAAGCACCGGCUAACUACGUG
rnacentral:rRNA from 1 species